CAGGAAGAGGCCCCUUUACAUUUGCCAGAAGCUAAGGCACUGAACAGAGCACUAUUUAAAGCUCCUGUUCCAAGAACUUGUCCUUCAGCAAAUGUCCUGCAUCCCUAGAAGUCUCAAAGGGGGUUAGGAGCUGAGAGAAGGAUGCUAGAGAUCAAGAGGAGCACUUCUGUAAUGGGUUCUGAC